UAACUGGCUCCACUCUGUCAGUUCCUCUAAGUCUAUAAAAAGGGACUAAAGGAGGCAAAGAGGACAGAGGAGAAAAAGCACCAAAUUGCUGCAGAAAUACACAGAAAGAAAAAAAACUGCUACAGAAAUCCAAAGAAGAGAAGCAAGCAAAAGAGAUACGAAGCUCUGUCAUAAUACCAUUCAGAAGGUAUAAACAAAUUCAUUUGAGUACCCUUUU
rnacentral:lncRNA from 1 species